rnacentral:misc_RNA from 1 species
GUUUUUUGCCGCAUAUCUAUGGUUUGUUUAGAAUUUGAUAAGUGCUUAUUCAAGUUUUAGGCCAUGUAAAGACUUCUGAAUUAUGGAAGAAUUUUGUUCUCUUUCAAUAUCAUGAAUUUUUCCUGGCAUGGACAAAAUAUCAAUGGUCUUAUGAAUGUAAGUGCUAGUGAUUAGACAAAGGGAUUAUAAUUUUUAACCAAACAUAAUUAUUUUAUGAAUAUUAUUUU